AUGUUUCCCAUGGUGGCUCGUAUGAGAGCUUCAAAGUUAUGAAACAUAAAACGAACGUGUAGAAAUAUUUGUGAAUAUAAUCAUUGUUAAUAAUUGAUUUGAUACAGAAAGUAUAGAUUCUCGAAUAUUUUUAUGUAAACAACUCAUUUUAAGAUCUUACGGUAUUCCAAUUAUUGGUGUUUUUUAAACUAGCAAAAAAUUAAUGGAAGUUUUCAGUUAUUGAGCGAUAUCGGAAUAGUGAAAAUCUGUUGAAAGUGAACUGAAACACAUAUUCACACUGUUAGUGUUAGUGUAUAAAAAUAAUCAGGUGUUGAGCAGUUACAAGUGAUUACCUUAUCAAGAUCUUUACUGCGAGCACUCCACUGAAAAAAAAAGAGACUGAUUACAGUGUUAUAAUUGUGGCCAUUGCAGCAUGGGGAAUAUGAAUGGCAAGAUCCAAAGUCUGAAGAGGAAGUAGUCAAUGUUGUAUUCGUUACGAAAGAUGGAAAAAGAAUUCCAGUUCGAGGGAAAAUAGGUGAUAAUGUGCUUUACUUAGCCCAUCGUUAUGGAAUUGAAAUGGAAGGGGCAUGUGAGGCUUCUCUAGCUUGCACAACCUGCCAUGUAUAUGUUCAGAAUGAAUAUUUUGACAAACUACCAGCAGCUGAAGAAAGUGAAGAAGACCUUCUUGAUAUGGCACCAUUUCUAAAAGAAAACUCAAGAUUAGGUUGUCAAAUAAUACUUACCAAAGAGUUAGAUGGAAUAGAACUAAGGCUUCCAACUGCUACUAGAAACUUCUACGUAGAUGGUCAUGUUCCUCAGCCUCACUAAUCUGUUGUGGAAGUGAAAAUCAUGAGAAAUUUUGAGCCCACCAGUAAAGACUGAUCUGUAGUGAUGUACUGAAGGACCUAAACAGCUUACACAGAGAUGCAGAAUAUGGCCACUUUGGAUAGGAGGUGUUAGCAUCAUACUUUUGCUCGUGAUAAAUCCUAAAUCCCAGUUUCCUGGAAUUUCAUGGGGUUUCUUAUCUGGAUAAAACCAUAUAAAACUAUGAUUAAAGUAUAAGCACAAGAAAUAAAAGAAAUAACUUAA
rnacentral:misc_RNA from 1 species